rnacentral:rRNA from 1 species
UACGUAGGGUGCAAGCGUUAAUCGGAAUUACUGGGCGUAAAGCGUGCGCAGGCGGUUUUGUAAGUCUGUCGUGAAAGCCCCGGGCUCAACCUGGGAACUGCAUUUGUGACUGCAAGGCUAGAGUACGGCAGAGGGGGAUGGAAUUCCGCGUGUAGCAGUGAAAUGCGUAGAUAUGCGGAGGAACACCAAUGGCGAAGGCAAUCCCCUGGGCCUGUACUUACGCUCAUGCACGAAAGCGUGGGGAGCAAACAGG